AGGCAGCCGGGGAGGCCUGGCGGCGACGGCGGGGAGAGAAGGGAGGAGAGAGAGUUACCGUAGUGUCUCCUGGCGCGGAGGAAAACCGCCCCACGUUGCCAAGGUGUCUUCUCGGACUUGGAGAAGGACACCUGGGGGACCGCUACGAGCCAGCGAGGCUGCUGUCCCUGUCUAAGGGGAGCAAAGAUUCCGCACCCCUGACUGCUUUCAGCUGCUGCCCACCCGCCGCGCUUGGCGAAGACUUGGAAAGAGAUUUCCUCUGGGAUGCCCCUGCAGCUGCCACCAUUCAGAAGGGGAGGGGCUGAGGCCGCGUCAACGAGAAAAAACUUGCAGCUGCCGCCCCACCAAACCUCUUCUACGUCCUAAGGAAAGGAGGAUUCCUGAGACAGCUGCUCCAAAUGUAGCGUGGAGGUGGAGUUAAUUUUGCAUGUAAAUCCCGGAGGUUUUUCUUUUCCUCUCGUAAUUUUCCAAUGUAAAAGUUAGAUUCGCCUCAUUCUGAGUUUAAAAGAUAAAUUACAUUAGGGUUGAAACCAGUAGAGAUCAUCAUAAUCUAAGAGUCCUUCCCCUCCGCUCCCACUAUUAACAGUACAGCACGCUUCCUGAUGGCGUUGUGAAAAAUAAAAAUCACUGUUAUGGUACUCUUAAGGUCAUAAGGCCUUAAAAAAAUAAUAAUGUUUAAAAUACUCCUUGCUCCCUGAAAUGAAAGUGAAGCAAAACGUGGGAUCAAACAAAAGUUAGUACUAUGGAGGAGUCAGGAGAAAAAAUUAUAUUGGUAUGAGAGACAAAAUAAGUUCUGGAACGCCUCGAAUUUAUAUUUCAAAUUGUUAAAUGAAUAAAUCUGGAAUAAGAGGGAGUAAGAGGGAAAGGGGCUUGCCUGCAAGAGAAAGACAACUUUCACUUUGCCCUGCCUUGAGUAUAUUGGUGUAUCCGAAGUGCUAAAAAAGUGUUUGUUAAAUAAAUAAAUGUCCUCCCUUAAGAAGGAGCUUAUGAUGAUAGUGAAAAUGCUCUCAACAUAACGGUAGUCAGAAUUAUUCCGUCUGAGUUAUCUAGGACUAAUGGUUGUGUCUUUCACUGUUAACACUGUGCUUCUACUGUGAAACAAAGUAAAUGUGAAACAAUUAUCCCAAUAUUUUCAAAACAAAUUGUCAAAUAUUUUUUACAAUUUUUCAGAAUUAUUCAACCUCCUGCUUUACUUUGCCCCAUGGCUACAGUAAAAUAGUUGACAAAAUUUGAAGGUUCACUGAGAGAAGGAUAAGAAGGUAGAAGGGGAAACUAUUCACUAGCCAAGCCACCAUCAAAAUGCAACAGCUGAGGAUUGUUCAGGUGUAAAACAUGUAACUGUGGAGUUUUUCAAAGUAAGCUGUCUGCCCAUCAGAUCUUAAGCUCUUUGAUGACAUAAUACUCUGUAUAUUGUAGGUACUCAGUACAUAUGAUUUGGAAUGAAUUGAAAUUCUAAAGCUACUUGCUUUAAUUUUUCUGACCUAAAAGCCCUUACCUGAGUCUACACAGCUACUACCAGUUAGAGGGAGGAAAAACUUGUAUAUAUGGCUGUCUUAAUAUAGAAAGCAAUUUCACCAUUUGUUAAAUUUUGCUUAUAUCUUUGGUCCUACUAAUGAAAGUUUUCUAGUCGAGAACCUUAUAUGAAGUAUCAUCAGAUGAGUUUACAGGACUAUCUCACCUGUAGCACGCACUCAACUACACAGACAAAAGGGAAAAAAAGAUUACCUCCUGUAGAGCCAGGCUCAAAUUUCAUAUCACCAUCUAAUGUGUAUUUUAAUCUUUCUCUGACAUCAACAUUUUGUCAGAAUUAAAUUAAGGACAAAGGGUUUCCAUAAAUUUACUUCCCUUCAGCAUGCAUUGAAACCAUAGCAGAAAAAAAAAAAAAAAA